rnacentral:rRNA from 1 species
AGAUUAAGUUAUUAAGGGCGCACGGUGGAUGCCUUGGCACUAGAAGCCGAUGAAGGACGUUACUAACGACGAUAUGCUUUGGGGAGCUGUAAGUAAGCUUUGAUCCAGAGAUUUCCGAAUGGGGAAACCCAGCAUGAGUUAUGUCAUGUUAUCGAUAUGUGAAUACAUAGCAUAUCAGAAGGCACACCCGGAGAACUGAAACAUCUUAGUACCCGGAGGAAGAGAAAGAAAAUUCGAUUCCCUUAGUAGCGGCGAGCGAAACGGGAAGAGCCCAAACCAACAAGCUUGCUUGUUGGGGUUGUAGGACACUCUAUACGGAGUUACAAAGGACGACAUUAGACGAAUCAUCUGGAAAGAUGAAUCAAAGAAGGUAAUAAUCCUGUAGUCGAAAAUGUUGUCUCUCUUGAGUGGAUCCUGAGUACGACGGAGCACGUGAAAUUCCGUCGGAAUCUGGGAGGACCAUCUCCUAAGGCUAAAUACUCUCUAGUGACCGAUAGUGAACCAGUACCGUGAGGGAAAGGUGAAAAGCACCCCGGAAGGGGAGUGAAAUAGAACCUGAAACCGUGUGCUUACAAGUAGUCAGAGCCCGUUAAUGGGUGAUGGCGUGCCUUUUGUAGAAUGAACCGGCGAGUUACGAUUUGAUGCAAGGUUAAGCAGUAAAUGUGGAGCCGUAGCGAAAGCGAGUCUGAAUAGGGCGUUUAGUAUUUGGUCGUAGACCCGAAACCAGGUGAUCUACCCUUGGUCAGGUUGAAGUUCAGGUAACACUGAAUGGAGGACCGAACCGACUUACGUUGAAAAGUGAGCGGAUGAACUGAGGGUAGCGGAGAAAUUCCAAUCGAACCUGGAGAUAGCUGGUUCUCUCCGAAAUAGCUUUAGGGCUAGCCUCAAGUGAUGAUUAUUGGAGGUAGAGCACUGUUUGGACGAGGGGCCCCUCUCGGGUUACCGAAUUCAGACAAACUCCGAAUGCCAAUUAAUUUAACUUGGGAGUCAGAACAUGGGUGAUAAGGUCCGUGUUCGAAAGGGAAACAGCCCAGACCACCAGCUAAGGUCCCAAAAUAUAUGUUAAGUGGAAAAGGAUGUGGCGUUGCCCAGACAACUAGGAUGUUGGCUUAGAAGCAGCCAUCAUUUAAAGAGUGCGUAAUAGCUCACUAGUCGAGUGACACUGCGCCGAAAAUGUACCGGGGCUAAACAUAUUACCGAAGCUGUGGAUUGUCCUUUGGACAAUGGUAGGAGAGCGUUCUAAGGGCGUUGAAGCAUGAUCGUAAGGACAUGUGGAGCGCUUAGAAGUGAGAAUGCCGGUGUGAGUAGCGAAAGACGGGUGAGAAUCCCGUCCACCGAUUGACUAAGGUUUCCAGAGGAAGGCUCGUCCGCUCUGGGUUAGUCGGGUCCUAAGCUGAGGCCGACAGGCGUAGGCGAUGGAUAACAGGUUGAUAUUCCUGUACCACCUAUAAUCGUUUUAAUCGAUGGGGGGACGCAGUAGGAUAGGCG